UGAAAAAGUCAGGGGCAAGGCAGGAGUGGUGGCUCUCACUUUCAUCCCAGCACUUUGGGAGGCCGAGGCAAGAAGAUUGCUAAAGGCCAGGAGUUCAGAGCUGUAGUGAGCUAGGAUCACAGGACUGCACUUCAGCCUGGGCCACAGAGGGAGACUCUGUCUCUGAAACAAUGAAAAAAAAAUUAAAAAUAAGAUUAAAAAAAAGAUCAGGGUCAAGAGACUCUAUGGUGCUGGCUGAAAACAAAAACAAAAACAAAAACCCCAAGUGACUCAGCGUCAUUUUUCUACUUCCCACUUCCUCAUUUCUACUUCACCAAUGGUUCUAAACUAAGUGUGAGCCGUGAGCUGGCCUGGCUCUGUGAGGGCAGCAAUCGUCACAGUGCAGACUCAGGCUCUGGCAGGAAUUCCACAUGACCCCACUGGGGACCUUGCAGAACAGAAGUUGUUUCCAUGGAGUGAGGAUCCCCCCUGGAGACCUCGGCAUCUUUCCCUGCCUCCAGCCACGUAAGACGUGCCUGUUUCCCCUUCUGCCAUGAUUGAAAGUUUCCCGAGGCCUCCCCAGCCAUUCUUCCUGCACAGCCUGCAGAAAUGUGAGUCAAUUAAGCCUCUUUUAUUUAUAAAUAACCCAGUCUCAGGUAUUUCUUUAUAGCAGUGUGAGAACUGAUUAAUACAGAAAAUAACACAUCUAUCAAGUAAGACAUAUACUCUAAAACUGUAGUAAUAUAGGCAGGGUGGUAUUGGCAU
rnacentral:lncRNA from 13 species